rnacentral:SRP_RNA from 1 species
CCGUACUAACCGGGGACACAGCGGCCCCCUGUCGCCUGAAAUCCGCUAUAGCAGGGGUGAAUGCGUGCGAAGGGGGCAAGCGGACGUCGUCCGUCGUAAGAAUCGGGUUGUGAGAGAUCGGUCCCGCGCAACGGUCUGCUGUGAACCAUGUCAGGCGGGGAACCGAGCAGCAUUAAGCGGCGCUGAGCGUGUGCCGCGGCCAACCGGUCUUGAGUCCGGUCCUUCCGAAACGGGACGCCCGCGAGCCUUCGACGCGCGAUGUACGG